GAGAGAAUCCCUAUAAAAAUAAAAAGGGAACGAAUUCCGCGUAGACAGAUGAGGUAAUAAGACUUCUGUGAUUGAGACAACUUCAUUUUACACUAAACAAACUUAAUUAAUUCACCUCAACUUAAAACACAAAAGUUAAAUAAAUAAAAAGGGGUGAACACAAUAGAAAGCGUUUUUUCCCCUCUCUCUUCUUCUUCUUCCUUCAUUCUUUCUUUCUCAUGAAACAUACAAACAAACUCCAUCAUCAAUUAUAUCAUCAAUAAUCCAAAAAUCAAACAAAACAAAGAAGCCAAAAACAACACUCUUUCUUUCUUUCUUUCUUUCUUUCUUUCUCCUAUAAAUAAUCUUUCACACCUUCUUUCCUUUUCAUACCAUAUAUUAUUAAUACUAAUAAUAAUCAAAAGUUUAUACUAUAUAGUCUAUAAACUAUAUAUUAUAAUUCAGCUUCAGAUGGAAAGACAUCAUAUUAUACAUCAUGAUCAGCAGCAACAACAACAACAUCAAUAUCGACAACCGCAGCAAUUACAACAACAACAACAACAAAUGAUACCUAACACGGUUGGGGUAGACACAGGUGAUAGGUUCCCACAAUGGAGUAUACAAGAAACUAAAGAGUUUUUAAUAGUUCGAGCUGAUUUAGAUCGGAAUUUUAUGGAGACUAAACGAAAUAAACUUCUUUGGGAAGUUAUUUCUACUAAAAUGAGAGAUAAAGGUUUUAAUCGUAGUGCUGAGCAGUGCAAAUGUAAAUGGAAAAAUCUUGUCACUCGUUACAAGGGGUGUGAGACAAUGGAACCAGAAGUAAUGAGACAACAAUUUCCCUUCUACAAUGAAAUGCAAGCAAUAUUCACAGCAAGAAUGCAGAGGAUGUUAUGGGCCGAAGAAGAAAGCGGGCCAGGCCCAUCAAAGAAGAUGAAGGCAACAAUGUCAUCAGAUGAGGAAGAAGAUGAUCAAGAUACAGAUGGAGAAAAAGGGGUUCAAAAAAAGAAGACUAAUAACAAAAAAGCAAGAACAAAUAUUAGUAGUAGUAGUAGUAUCAGUAGUAGUAGUAUUAAUGCAAUAAAGGAUAUGUUGGAGGAGUUCAUGAAGCAACAGUUGCAGAUGGAGGUGCAAUGGAGGGAGGCGUACGAGGCGAGGGAGGAGGAGAGGCGGAGGGCGGAGGCGGAGUGGCGGCAGAGAAUGGAGGCGUUGGAGAAUGAGAGGGUGGUGAUGGAGAGAAGGUGGAGAGAAAGAGAAGAGCAGAGGAAGAUAAGAGAGGAAACUAGGGCUGAGAAAAGGGAUGCUCUUAUUACAACUCUAUUGAAUAAACUUAGAAGAGAAGACUCAAACAUGUGAUAAUUUAUCAUCAAUCAUCAUUUUUCCAUGCAUGCAUGAUGCAUGCAUAUUAGGUAAGAAGAAUUUCGUUGCAAGAAAGAGGAGAAAUUGGGAUUCUUUUUGUAAGGGGUGAGAAUCAAAUUCCUGUCACGUUACAGGGGUGAAAGGUGGGCGGUUUCAUUCAUUUUAUCUUCCUCUUCAAAUGUUGUAGCUUAGCUUUAAUUAGCUAGCUAGAUCAUGCAGGAAAUGGAUUCUUUAACAGUCUAUCCCAACUCCUUUGUCAGUUAAUUUUUUUUGGGUACAUGAGAAAAGUUAGGACACCCUUCUUUCAACAGAGACUCUUAAAGAAUCAAUAAGAACAAAUUUAUGUAACGAGGGGUUCUGUUGAAACAUCCACAUCAACCGAGACAGCUGAACUGUUGUGAACUUUUUUGAUAGAAGUUCCGCUACCUGAUUAGCUUCUCGAAAAAUAUGCUUAAUUUUAUAGAAUCUAAAAUGUCAUAGCAGUUGCCUAAUGUCAUCAAUGAGGGUUCGUAUAUAUAUAGUCCAAGGGCAAGCGUAAUGCCCUUGCAGAAUUCGUAUAAUCACCUGGUUGUCUCCUUUAAUAUAUAGAUCUUGAAUAUGCUGUUGAUUGGCAAGAAUAAGUCCAUUUCUUAAC